CUCUCCUGGGCUGUGCAGGCUCACAGCUCUCUCCUCACACAGGGCUGAGGUCUCUGGAAAGGCAGAGCUGUGGUCUAGAAGAAGAUGAGGCUGCUGGGUCUUCUCCUGUGCCUGAUGACAGCCUCCCAAGGUGUCCUGUCCCAGGUGCAGCUGCAGGAGUCUGGCCCAGGACUGGUGAAGCCCUCACAGACCCUCACCCUCACCUGCGCUGUCUCUGGAUUCUCUUUAACGGGCUAUCAAGUGCACUGGAUCCGCCAGCCCCUGUGGAAGGGGCUGGAGUGGAUGGGGCGCAUAAAUAAUAAUGGAGACACGUACUACAGCCCCUCCCUCGAGAGCAGAACCUCCAUCUCCAGAGACACGUCCAAGAACCAGGUCUCCAUGCAGCUGAGCUCCGUGAUCACAGAGGACACGGCUGUGUAUUACUGUGCAAGAGAC